rnacentral:rRNA from 1 species
CACGUAGGGGGCAAGCGUUGUCCGGAUUUAUUGGGCGUAAAGAGCUCGUAGGCGGCUUAGUAAGUCGGGUGUGAAACCUCCAGGCUCAACCUGGAGACGCCACCCGAUACUGCUGUGGCUAGAGUCCGGUAGGGGAGCGUGGAAUUCCUGGUGUAGCGGUGAAAUGCGCAGAUAUCAGGAGGAACACCGGUGGCGAAGGCGGAUCUCUGGGCCUGUCCUGACGCUCAGGUGCGAAAGCGUGGGGAGCAAACAGG